rfam:Fervidicella metallireducens AeB contig00025, whole genome shotgun sequence.
AUUACUUUAAGUCAGUCCAGAGAGGCUGGAAAGGAUGUUUGAGUCUGAUAGUGCAGAGAAAAUUCUGUCUAUCUUUAAUUAGUAUGUAAAAACACGCCUUCUACCUGCUGGUAGAAGGCUUUUUUAU